AUGGAGUGCAUCGUGGAGCCGCAGCGGGAGCGGGAGCGCUGCGUCACGGAUGUACCUGAGGUCGAUGGUGCUGAGCUGCUCGUCGAGCUCCUGGACGCAUCGCUCGCCGCCGAGGAGGAGGCGGCGGCAGUCGGCUGCAAGCAUCACCAGCUCGGCUUCCCGGCCGACGACGUCGGCGAAGGCUGGAUCGACGACGGCCUACAGGAGCUGAACUUGAUCCACCCGCACCAGGAGGCGGGCUGCGAGGACUGCGGGCUCGACGGCAUAAUCCUCUCCGGCUUUGACGGCUGCGGGUGCUCGCCGGGACCGUACGUCCUGGACGACGUUGGCAACGCCGUGGGGUACUGGGCGGAGGAGAUGGAGGGCGCCGCCUUUGGCUUCUUCAACGGCGACUGCGUGGGGGAGUGGUACUCGGACGGCAUGGCCAUGGAGUGGGACGAAGGGAGAAGCUACUACUCCUUUUACCCAUCCUACGGCGGCGAGGCGAGCGCGGAGCAACCGUACAUCAGUCCAUUGUGGGAGUGA
rnacentral:rRNA from 1 species